ACGAACGCUGGCGGCGUGCUUAACACAUGCAAGUCGAACGGAAAGGCCCUUUCGGGGGUACUCGAGUGGCGAACGGGUGAGUAACACGUGGGUGAUCUGCCCUGCACUUCGGGAUAAGCUUGGGAAACUGGGUCUAAUACCGGAUAGGACUACGGCCUGCAUGGGUUGUGGUGGAAAGCUUUUGCGGUGUGGGAUGGGCCCGCGGCCUAUCAGCUUGUUGGUGGGGUGAUGGCCUACCAAGGCGACGACGGGUAGCCG
rnacentral:rRNA from 1 species